UACGUAGGACCCAAGCGUUAUCCGGAGUGACUGGGCGUAAAGAGUUGCGUAGGUGGUCAGUAAAGUGAAUAGUGAAAUCUGGUGGCUCAACCAUACAGGCUAUUAUUCAAACUCACUGACUCGAGAAUGGUAGAGGUAACUGGAAUUUCUUGUGUAGGAGUGAAAUCCGUAGAUAUAAGAAGGAACACCAAUGGCGUAGGCAGGUUACUGGACCAUUUCUGACACUGAGGCACGAAAGCGUGGGGAGCGAACCGG
rnacentral:rRNA from 1 species